rnacentral:rRNA from 1 species
AGAGUUUGAUCCUGGCUCAGGACGAACGCUGGCGGCGUGCUUAACACAUGCAAGUCGAGCGGUAAGGCCCUUCGGGGUACACGAGCGGCGAACGGGUGAGUAACACGUGGGCAACCUGCCCUGCACUCUGGGAUAAGCCCGGGAAACUGGGUCUAAUACCGGAUAUGACUUCGGAUCGCAUGAUCUGGGGUGGAAAGUUCCGGCGGUGCAGGAUGGGCCCGCGGCCUAUCAGCUUGUUGGUGGGGUAGUGGCCUACCAAGGCGACGACGGGUAGCCGGCCUGAGAGGGCGACCGGCCACACUGGGACUGAGACACGGCCCAGACUCCUACGGGAGGCAGCAGUGGGGAAUAUUGCGCAAUGGGCGAAAGCCUGACGCAGCGACGCCGCGCGAGGGAUGACAGCCUUCGGGUUGUAAACCUCUUUCAGCAGGGACGAAGCGCAAGUGACGGUACCUGCAGAAGAAGCACCGGCUAACUACGUGCCAGCAGCCGCGGUA